ACAGGCUCCAGGCUCUGAGCCAUCAGCCCAGAGCCUGACGCGGGGCUCGAACUCCCGGACCGCGAGAUCGUGACCUGGCUGAAGUCGGACGCUUAACCGACUGCGCCACCCAGGCGCCCCAAAACAAACAACCUUUAAAGUGCCCAACAAUACCAAACGCCCAAGAGCCUGUGAGUACACGGACCUCUUCCACUCUGCAACCACUUUGGAAAACGGACGGACAUGCAUCACAACACUGAAUAUUCAUGUGCCACAUAACGUGGCCUUUCCUCUCCCAGGUGGUGUUCACUUGGCGGGCGUUUAUUCCAUGAGCCGACUGUAAAAUUUACUGAUAAAUGGAGCAAUGAUGACGGAAUACGGAAGCAGGCAAGCCACAGACAGGAGCCACCCAGCCUGGGUUCAUAUUCUGGCAGCGUGACACUGGGCCAGUCGCCUCAACCCUCCGAGCCUCAGUUUACCCGUCUGUAAAGCGGGAUCGGAGUAGCUGUAGCAAGGAUCGAGCAGGUUCACGCUUGCCAAGUGCCUAGAACAGGACCCAGCGGGCAGCAAAUCAUGGAGAAGGGUCUGUUAUGUGAAGACAGGGGCACCUGGGGGGCCCAGUCGGUUGGGCGUCCGACUUCGGCUCAGGUCAUGAUCUCGAGUACAAGUGCACCAAGCUCCCUUUGUGUCCCGCACUAUUCAAAGUUACUCAGGGGUCAAAAACUUCUGUAAAGAGGCAGAGAGUAAAUAUUUUCAGCGUUGCCAACCAGAUGGUCCCUGAUGCACCUACUCAGCUCUGCCCUUGUCGCUUGAAAGCCAAAAGCCACCAGGGACAGCAUGUGAACAGACGGGCUGUGUACCAAUAAAACUUUAUUUAUGAACA